GCCCCCUUAGCUCAACUGGUAGAGCAAGAUCCUUUUAAGAUCGAGGUUAUAGGUUCGAGUCCUAUAGGGGGCA
rnacentral:tRNA from 3 species